rnacentral:rRNA from 1 species
CAGAUAAGGAGCUUGCUCCUUUGACGUUAGCGGCGGACGGGUGAGUAACACGUGGGUAACCUACCUAUAAGACUGGGAUAACUUCGGGAAACCGGAGCUAAUACCGGAUAACAUUUGGAACCGCAUGGUUCUAAAGUGAAAGAUGGUUUUGCUAUCACUUAUAGAUGGACCCGCGCCGUAUUAGCUAGUUGGUAAGGUAACGGCUUACCAAGGCGACGAUACGUAGCCGACCUGAGAGGGUGAUCGACCAUACUGGAACUGAGACACGGUCCAGACUCAUACGGGAGGCAGCAGUAGGGAAUCUUCCGCAAUGGGCGAAAGCCUGACGGAGCAACGCCGCGUGAGUGAUGAAGGGUUUCGGCUCGUAAAACUCUGUUAUUAGGGAAGAACAAAUGUGUAAGUAACUGUGCACGUCUUGACGGUACCUAAUCAGAAAGCCACGGCUAACUACGUGCCAGCAGCCGCGGUAAUACGUAGGUGGCAAGCGUUAUCCGGAAUUAUUGGGCGUAAAGCGCGCGUAGGCGGUUUCUUAAGUCUGAUGUGAAAGCCCACGGCUCAACCGUGGAGGGUCAUUGGAAACUGGGAAACUUGAGUGCAGAAGAGGAAAGUGGAAUUCCAUGUGUAGCGGUGAAAUGCGCAGAGAUAUGGAGGAACACCAGUGGCGAAGGCGACUUUCUGGUCUGUAACUGACGCUGAUGUGCGAAAGCGUGGGGAUCAAACAGGAUUAGAUACCCUGGUAGUCCACGCCGUAAACGAUGAGUGCUAAGUGUUAGGGGGUUUCCGCCCCUUAGUGCUGCAGCUAACGCAUUAAGCACUCCGCCUGGGGAGUACGA